CACGUAGGGUGCGAGCGUUGUCCGGAAUUAUUGGGCGUAAAGAGCUCGUAGGCGGUGUGUCGCGUCGGCCGUGAAAACCUGCAGCUUAACUGUGGGCUUGCGGUCGAUACGGGCAUCACUGGAGUUCGGCAGGGGAGACUGGAAUUCCUGGUGUAGCGGUGAAAUGCGCAGAUAUCAGGAGGAACACCCGGUGGGCGAAGGCGGGGUCUCUGGGCCACUACUGACGCUGGAGAAG
rnacentral:rRNA from 1 species